AUCUUCCUUUCACUGACUCAGCUGACAGCCUCAGGCACACUCAGCUUGCCAUUCUCUCUCUCUCUCUCUCUCAUCAUGUAGCAGCAGAGAGAGAGAGCUUGAAGAAAGAAACAUGGUGUCGUCGUCUCAGAAGAAGAGCCUCCACUCUCUGCUGGCCGCAAAGCUCAGCAACCUCACAAUCCCGCCUUCCUCGUCUUCUUCCUCCUCCUCUCCACCUCCAGACUUCGACUUUAACGACCUCUUCGGCCCCACCACUGCCAUCCCCAACGACCAAUCAACCUCCGCCACGUCGCUCCCUCCGGCUCCACUGGUCAUCCACAACCGUUCUCACUCCUUCGUGGGCCCCUCCCCGCGCUUCGCUCCGUCUUCCUCCCUCCCUUUCACCGCCGAAUUCCUCGAUUCCCAGAGCGACGAAGACGAAUCCGAAAACCCGGACGGAACUGAUAAUCGGAAUGAUGGGGAAUCAGAAAAGACCGAGCUCGCAGUCAAAGAGAGAGCUCGUAAGUUUGGGCCUGCGGAUUUUGAGAUGCUCAGAGUUGUGGGUAAGGGCGCGUUUGGGAAGGUCUUUCAAGUGAGAAAGAAGUGCAACGAUGGCAGUAACGGCAACGAAAGUGAUGGGCUUUAUGCUAUGAAGGUUAUGAGGAAAGACACAAUUAUAAAGAAGAACCAUGUGGAUUAUAUGAAAGCUGAGAGAGACAUCCUCACCAAGGUUGUGCACCCUUUCAUUGUUCAGCUUCGCUACUCUUUCCAGACCAACUCUAAGCUUUAUUUGAUCAUGGAUUUUAUAAAUGGAGGGCAUCUCUUCUUUCACUUGUACCGGCAGGGAAUCUUUAGCGAGGAUCAAGCAAGACUUUAUACUGCUGAGAUAGUAUCUGCUGUUGCACAUCUUCACAAGUGCGGGAUCGUGCAUCGGGACCUUAAACCUGAAAAUGUUCUUGUGGAUUCUGACGGGCAUGUCAUGCUAACUGAUUUUGGACUAGCAAAGGAAAUUGAUGAAGCCAGCAGAUCAAAUUCAAUGUGUGGGACCACAGAAUACAUGGCUCCUGAAAUAUUGCUGUCUAAAGGCCAUAACAAAGAUGCAGAUUGGUGGAGCAUUGGUAUACUUUUGUAUGAGAUGCUAAGUGGGCAGCCACCAUUUACGCAUGCGAAUAGAAAGAAACUCCAGGAGAGAAUCAUCAAAGAGAAAGUUAAACUUCCACCUUAUCUUACCAGCGAAGCUCACUCCUUGCUAAGAGGAUUGCUACAAAAGGAUCCGUUACAAAGAUUGGGUAGUGGGCCCAAUGGAGGUGAUAAUAUCAAAAGUCAUAAAUGGUUUCGAUCAAUCAACUGGAAGAAGUUGGAGGCCAGAGAACUGCUCCCAAAGUUCAAGCCGGAUGUGAGUGGAAAAGACUGCACGGCCAACUUCGAUCGGUGCUGGACUACAAUGCCUCUGGACGACUCACCAGCUCCUACACCAACAGCGGGUGUGCAUUUCCAGGGAUAUACUUACGUGGCACCUAACCCGUGGCUUUCGUCUGCAUAAACUGAAGGCUGCUGCUAGACUAGAGUGUUAAAGGAAAAAAGAAAGAGAACUAAAUGAAGUGAAGACGAUUUGAAUGAAGCCCCCCUUCCAAAUUGCCGUUCAAGUAAUGAUAAUUUCACCCCAACUUUUUCUUGGGCAAAAAGGAGCAUGCAGUAUUAAGGGUCGUUCGGAACUACUUCUUUAGAAAAGCAUUUAUGCUAGUUUUCUGGUAAGAGCAUUGAAACUUCUAUAUUGUAAAUUCAAGGGCUUUUAGAGAAAGCAAGGGCUUCCCAAAAACACUA